ensembl:lncRNA
CCUCUCUUUAAGCUCUGUUCAUAUUACAAAAAUAUUACAUGGUUCCUCCAACAGCCAGGGAUGUGUUGGCCAGAUGACUUUCUUUGUAUUUCAUCUGGAAAAGGUCUGAGGGGAUUCCACUAAACAGCCUGGAAAUCCCAAAUCCAGGGAUCAAGGACAGAGGAGUUAAAGUUAUUUCUAUGGCCAGUGUGUACAGUGCCCUUGCUUCCGUAUUCCUGUACUGUAGAGGUGUGGGAGCAGAGGACCUCUCUCUUUCCAUACUGCUAAUUUCAAGGCAAACACCAUGGACUAAGUUCAGCAACAAGAAACAUGGAAGAGCUGGUCCCUAGCUGGGUACAUCUCUUUGAUAUUACAGAGGUACAGGAUGCUCUAACACCAUCUCACUUCAAACUAGAGACCUGCC